GAGGAGAUUGUAGGAGAAUACCACCAGAUAUUUGACUUGGAGAAACACUAUAUGAGAAGCUAAGGUCAGCUUUUGACCAUGCAAGAACUUCCGAUUCGUAUAUAAAACUCAGCUUUCCAGGUUUUCUCAUUGAUUCCUUUAAAGGAUGACUCGUUGUCUUGCACAAAACCUCAGCUGCAGAACCGACAUUAACAUUUAACGCUAUCUUCUCCUUUUUCGACAUUUUCUUCCCCACAGGAAUGACAUAUUCCGGAAAAGUAAAAGGAACAUUCAAACUAAGAUUGCCUGAUGAGUUGUAUAGUAGUUUCUGAGACCAACUCAUGGUAAUAGACAAAGUAGUGCCCCCAUCAACCUGUGGUAUUGUGAGGGUAAAGAUAUUAGCAGUCAAGAAACCUCCAUCAACUCGUUCUAGUUUUUCAGAUGCAUUUUUACUUUUAUCUUCAAGUGCAAUAAGUGAAGUGCGAUAUGAUUUUCUAGGAUCAUCGACCUCACAACCUAGAACUGAACCCUGUUCUCCCAUAGGAAUUGCAAUGCGGCAAUCACAACUCCGAC
rnacentral:misc_RNA from 1 species